rnacentral:sRNA from 2 species
CCGUCGGUCGCGCCGAGCCUCGUUCCGCCGACAGGAUGACCAGAACAUCUGGGAACGAGGGCGGGGGACCCACCAUCUCCCCUGAGACGGGCGAUCGCAGUCUGAUCGCCCUUGGGGUUAAGUACCGGAUCGGCCUCGCCGACACCGGACCGAGCAGCCUCUCGCUCGAACCCGACAGCUGACUUCGCAGGCGCGUGGAGAGAGGGAAU